GGCUGAGGAACACUCUGCUGCUCAGGCCCCCGACUGAUAAGUGAUUGAGACUGUCUGUGAAUCAUGGAUACUUGGACAUGCUGAGCCUGGGGAAGAAUCACCCUGGACUGAUGCCCGAACCGAAUAGGCCUGAUCCAGCUGGCCUUUCCAGGUCUCAAGUACAAACCGAUGGCACGGAUCUCUCUGGACACCACAGGGAUGUGGAGGCGAGAGUGAAGUCUUGGAGCACACAGAUGAUACUUCAAGUCCUGAUUCUGCCACUUGCUCAGUGGGUGACCUUGGAGAUGGAAUUUCACCAUGUUGCCUGGGCUUGUCUCGAACUCCUGAGCUCAAGUGAUCUGCCUGCCCGCCUCAGCCUCCCAAAGUGCUAGGAUUACAGAUGAAUGGAAAAAACGAUGGGUGCAGUCUAAACAUCAGCCGGAUUAUGGUAAAUUUCAGCUCGCUGCAGGAUAAUUUUAUGGAGACAAAGAAAAAGAUAAAGGUCUCCAAACCAGUGAACAUGCCAAGUUUUAUGCCUUCUCAACCAGGUUGAAGCAUUCAGCAAUGAGAAUGAGACCUUGGUGUUUCAGUUUUCAGUAAAACACAAGCAAAGGAAGUAUUGUGGUGGCGGAUAUGUAAAACUCUUUCCUGCCACCCUGAACCAGGAGGAUAUGCACUCAGGAUCCAAGUAUCACAUCAUGUUUGGCCCUGACAUUUGUGGCUUUGGCAACAACAAAGUACAGGUCAUCCCUCAUUACUGAGAGAAAUACCAUGAGAACAAGACCAUCAAGUGCAGGGCUGGGGACAGAGUGGGCCAGACAUGGCCUUUGACUUCACAGAACUCACAGUCAAUGAAGGUAAGAGUCAAGCAAAGUGACUACCUAGUAUGCUGGGCAUCUGUGGGAGCACAGAAGAGGACCCCUACCCAACCUGGAGGCUAAGGAAAUACUUCUUAGAUCAAUAAAGACCCUCACCUGUACACUCUGAUUAUUCGCCCCAAUGCUACUUAUGAGGUUAAAAUUGACAACCAGCAGGUGGCAGCUGGGGCUCUGGAGGAGGACUGGGACUUCUUGCCUCCCAGGAAAAUAAAAGACCCUACGCCCAGAAACCAAAGAAAUGGGAUGAACGCCUGCACAUAGAGGAUCUGGAAGACAAGAAACCUGACAUCAGAGGGCAUUUGGCUGGGAAGCAGUACUGGGAAGACUUUGAAUACAUCCUGGAUCCAGAAGCCAAGAAGCCAGAUAACUGGAAGGAGGCUAUGGAUGGGGAGUGGGAAAGGCCUCUGAUGCCAAAUCCGAAGUAUAAGGGAGAAUGGAAACCUUGGAUCAUUGAAAAUCCCAAUUACCAGGGGGAGUAGAUUCAUCCCAAAAUAGACAACCCUAAAUAUAAGCCUGACGCCACCAUUUGUCACUAUUAUAACAUUAGUGUUCUCAGCCUGGACCUUUGGCAGGUAAAGCCCUCUGAGCUCAGAGCC